AUGCGCCUGUGCUCCCACGCGCUCUCAAUACUUGGAGAAAGAGAGAGAGGAAGAGAGAGAGUGAGAGAGAGCCCCACACCUCUCGCGAGAGCGUCGGCUCUUUGCAUCGCCCUCUGUUGGAGUGGAGUACUAUUAGCAUGGAACUCUGGUGUUGUUUGACAGGUCACAAAGAGGAUCAUAGAGAUGAGAAGAAAGAGUAGGCUCUGUUGUCCCUCAGACGGAGCUGCUGCAGUGCGACUUCGCACUUAGGCGGAGCGGUAGUGUGAGGAAGCCUCCCGCCAAACAGACGAGAGAGGAAGAGGAGGGGAGGGGCCAGAGAGAGAAGCGGCUUUCGGGAAGGAAAGUGUGGUCUAGGAGGUGGAAUAGUCUCCAAACUUUGACCUGAGGUGUGACUAUUGAAUGUCCCUCUAUUUGGAUUUGGAUUACAAAAGUUCAACAAUUUUUGGAAAAAUCCUACCUAGGUAAUGUGUCGUUCUCAGUGCAUCAUGUCAGGCAGCUUAUGAUGCCAAUUUGUCCCAUGGGAAGAAAAAUGUACUGUAUUUCACUGUGCUGACUGCAACUGCCAAUCAAGAUAGUCUGCAGCCUACCUGUGGACCUUGAUGAUUUCACAUGUUCUGUGGAAGAAUUUCUCCCCCACCUCCAAUGACUAUGGCAUUCCUUGGGAAAGUUAGCUUGGUAUUUACUUUUCCCCAGCAGGUCCCAAGCUGACAAAAAAUAAAAAUAAAAAAUAAAAAAUAAACAACAACAACAACAACAAAAUCACAAAACAACAACCAGUUAGCCAGGCUGUUUCAAAGGCCUACUGAGUUCCAUGAUAGCAAGAAUUCUAUGAAUAAUAAUGGGACAUGGAAUCCCGUGCAGCCUCGCGGAGAGCUCAGCCUAAUCACCCAGAAAUUCUGCUUCAUCACAGCCCUUUCUCUUGCCAUAAAACUGCUUGGGCUCUGUCUUUGCCUUCACAUCAUUUAAGCCUUUCUGCCCACCCUCCAGCAAUCUCAUCCCUGGGGCCUCCGCCCGUUACCAUGCUGGGGCUCCCCAGGGCUUCUCAAGAGGCUCUGUCAGCUCCAUCCUAGAGGCCUCUUUGCAGCACCAGAAGAAGUCCACACCUCCUCUUGUAGGACGUUCAAGCAACACAGGCCAGAGUAAGGAUCAAAGUAAAAGUCAUCCUAAAUUCA